rnacentral:rRNA from 1 species
GAUGAACGCUAGCUACAGGCUUAACACAUGCAAGUCGAGGGGAAACGAUGAGAGAGCUUGCUCUCUUAGUCGUCGACCGGCGCACGGGUGAGUAACGCGUAUCCAACCUGCCUCUGACCAAGGGAUAACCCGUCGAAAGUCGGACUAAUACCUUAUGCAGUCGUCGGAAGUCAUCUGAUGACGACGAAAGAUUUCAUCGGUGAGAGAUGGGGAUGCGUCUGAUUAGCUUGUUGGCGGGGUAACGGCCCACCAAGGCGACGAUCAGUAGGGGUUCUGAGAGGAAGGUCCCCCACAUUGGAACUGAGACACGGUCCAAACUCCUACGGGAGGCAGCAGUGAGGAAUAUUGGUCAAUGGGCGUAAGCCUGAACCAGCCAAGUAGCGUGCAGGAUGACGGCCCUAUGGGUUGUAAACUGCUUUUAUGCGGGGAUAAAGUGAGGGACGUGUCCUUCAUUGCAGGUACCGCAUGAAAAAGGACCGGCUAAUUCCGUG